CACAGAGGAAGCUCAUCAGUGGGGCCAAGUGCUUAGUGCUCGUCACUCCCCGACCCCUGGGAAGGUCUGAGACUGGGGCCUCCUGUGGCCAUAAUUGGGCCCUCCCCGAAUGAGGAGGUGAGUUCUCAGAGAGCAGGGCUCCACUCGUGGGCAGACUGGGCAGGAACCUAGAGGUAGGAACAGAAACUGAGACCGUAGAGGAACACUGCUCACUGGCUUGCUCAGCUUGCUUUCUUAUACAACCUAGGCCUUUAGAUGUUAAUUUCCAAUAUG
ensembl:ribozyme RNaseP_nuc Nuclear RNase P